rnacentral:rRNA from 1 species
AUACGGAGGGUGCAAGCGUUAAGCGGAAUUACUGGGCGUAAAGCGUACGUAGGCGGUUCGUUAAGUUAGAUGUGAAAGCCCCGGGCUUAACCUGGGAACUGCAUUUAAAACUGGCGAACUAGAGUUGAGUAGAGGGGUGUGGAAUUUCAGGUGUAGCGGUGAAAUGCGUAGAGAUCUGAAGGAACACCAGUGGCGAAGGCGACUCCCUGGACUCAAACUGACGCUGAGGUACGAAAGCGUGGGUAGCAAACGGGAUUAGAAACCCUAGUAGUCC